rnacentral:tRNA from 1 species
GCCUGGGUGGCUCAGUCGGUUGAGCGUCCGACUUCAGCUCAGGUCACGAUCUCACCAACCGUGAGUUCGAGCCCCGCGUCGGGCU